AUCAUCAUAGCUGUCCCAAACAGACAUUUCAAAGUAUCUUGCAGUAAAUGACUGUUUAAGUACAUUACAAAUAAAACUCAAGAGAAAAGAGAAAUAUGUAGAGAGAAAGAACAGCAAAUUCAGCAUGAUCCUGGUCCACACAGCAAAACCAUCAGAAAGCUAGCAUGCUAGGUAUCAGUCCAGAGAAACCAUCAGAAAGCUAGCUAGCUAGGAAUCAUCCAGAGGAACCAUCAGAAAGCCAGCUAGCUAGAUAUCAGUCCAGAGGAACCAUCAGAAAGCCAGCUAGCUAGGAAUCAGUCCAGAGGAACCAUCAGAAAGCCAGCUAGCUAGGAAUCAGUCCAGAGGAACCAUCAGAAAGCUAGCUAGCUAGCUAGGUAUCAGUCCAGAGGAACCAUCAGAAAGCUAGCUAGCUAGGAAUCAGUCCAGAGGAACCAUCAGAAAGCUAGCUAGCUAGGUAUCAGUCCAGAGGAACCAUCAGAAAGCUAGCUAGCUAGCUAGGAAUCAGUCCAGAGGAACCAUCAGAAAGCUAGCUAGCUAGGAAUCAGUCCAGAGGAACCAUCAGAAAGCUAGCUAGCUAGGAAUCAGUCCAGAGGAACCAUCAGAAAGCCAGCUAGCUAGGAAUCAGUCCAGAGGAACCAUCAGAAAGCUAGCUAGCUAGGAAUCAGUCCAGAGGAACCAUCAGAAAGCUAGCUAGCUAGAUAUCAGUCCAGAGGAACCAUCAGAAAGCUAGCUAGCUAGGAAUCAGUCCAGAGGAACCAUCAGAAAGCUAGCUAGCUAGGUAUCAGUCCAGAG
rnacentral:lncRNA from 1 species